AAUUCUUCCUUUUCCUUUCCAUCUACCCUCAUGAAUUAAACUAUUCAUGUUUAAUUCAUGAGGGUAGAUGAAAAGGAAAAGGAAGAA
rnacentral:pre_miRNA from 1 species